AAGAAAAUAGUAUAUUAAAUACAUUUUGUUUACACCAAAAAGCAGGGCUCUUCCUUUUCUCU
rnacentral:tRNA from 1 species